UACCGAGGGUGCGAGCGUUGUCCGGAAUCACUGGGCGUAAAGGGCGCGUAGGUGGCGACCCAAGUCGAUGGUGAAAGCUCGCCGCUCAACGGCGAGUCGGCCACUGAUACUGGGUUGCUCGAGCACUGUAGAGGCUAAUGGAAUUCCGGGUGUAGCGGUGGAAUGCGUAGAGAUCCGGAAGAACACCGGUGGCGAAGGCGGUUAGCUGGGCAGUUGCUGACACUGAGGCGCGACAGCGUGGGGAGCAAACAGG
rnacentral:rRNA from 1 species